UACGGAGGGUGCAAGCGUUAUCCGGAUUCAUUGGGUUUAAAGGGAGCGUAGGUGGCCUUAUAAGUCAGUGGUGAAAUCCUGUUGCUUAACAACAGAAUUGCCAUUGAUACUGUAGGGCUUGAGUACAGAUGCCGUUGGCGGAAUAUGACAUGUAGUGGUGAAAUACAUAGAGAUGUCAUAGAACACCGAUUGCGAAGGCAGCUGACGAAACUGUAACUGACACUGAGGCUCGAAAAGUGCGGGGAUCAAACAGG
rnacentral:rRNA from 1 species